rnacentral:rRNA from 1 species
AUUGAACGCUGGCGGCAUGCCUAACACAUGCAAGUCGAACGGCAGCACGGUCUAGCUUGCUAGACGGGUGGCGAGUGGCGAACGGGUGAGUAACGCGUAGGAAUAUACCUUGAAGUGGGGGACAACCUGGGGAAACUCAGGCUAAUACCGCGUAAUCUCUUCGGAGGGAAGCUGGGGACCGCAAGGCCUGGCGCUUUAAGAUUAGCCUGCGUCCGAUUAGCUAGUUGGUGGGGUAAGGGCCUACCAAGGCGACGAUCGGUAGCUGGUCUGAGAGGAUGAUCAGCCACACUGGGACUGAGACACGGCCCAGACUCCUACGGGAGGCAGCAGUGGGGAAUAUUGGACAAUGGGGGCAACCCUGAUCCAGCGAUGCCGCGUGUGUGAAGAAGGCCUGAGGGUUGUAAAGCACUUUCGGCGGGGAGGAGGGCAGAUUGGUUAAGAGCUGAUUUGUUGGACGUUACCCGCAUAAGAAGCACCGGCUAACUCCGUGCCAGCCGCCGCAGUAAGAC